rnacentral:lncRNA from 1 species
CUAGCAGGCAUUGAUUUAUGAAAGGUGCAAUAAAUGCCCUUGUGAUUGUUUG